GUCAUUGCUCAGUGGGAGGGCAUGUGCUUAGCAUGCAGAACGUUCCAGGUUAAAUCCCCGGCAUCUACA